GAAAACUUAAAUGAAAGACAGCAUCACAGAGCUUCUCUCAAGAGCAGGCAGAGGAAGAGGCUGGAGCUGGUAGCAGAAGGGGCUCCACGGUGACUGUGACCAAACAGACCACAGCACUGCUGAGGGGGUGGCCAGGGGAAGGGCCCACCGCCCACCAGGAGGUCUGCCUGCGGCUCUGCUCCUCCCUGGCACACAUCAUGGACUCCCAUUAUACAUGGAACACGUGCCUGGUGGGGAUCGAUGCCACCAUGGGGCCUGGGAUUAUUUGCAUCUUUGCUGGAAAGAGCCUUCACACCAACAUGAAACUUCAAGGACGCUAGAACGUCAGCGCCUGCCUGAGCGCCCCCAUCCUUCAGUGUGUCUGUGGACAGGGCUUGCGGUUCUAUGAAGAUAUGGCAGAAAGUAUUUUGGAGGAGAAAAGCAAUCCAGGUAAAGCCACAGUCCUGAGGGACCUGCCUUUUCCCAACCAAUUCGUUUUUUCCACCCUCAAAGUGUCAUUGUAAAGUUCCAACUUGCUUCAUUUAGCGUUGGUUUUUCAGUGAGGAGGUGACCACGGUAAAAGUGAGGCAUCACUAGAAUCCACCCAGCCAAAGCUUACAGCGGAAAAUGGGUCACAGGGUGACCACAGUGAGUCAUUCUGGAUGGGGUACAACCCACACACCCCCACCACCAGCUGCCUGGCUCCUCUGGGAAUUUCCAGUGGAAAAUCUCCACUUCUGAUCCAAGAAGGAGGGGAUGGCCUGUCCCAGUGGGAACACUAAGGAAAUCGAUGCAACUCAAUUCACUGUAAAAUGUGUGUCUAUUGAGCUUUUGUGAAUGCACAUUUGCCAAACCCUGUGCUUUCUCUCACAGCGCUGCAGAGGCCACAGAAACGGAUGGUAUCAGGAAAAGUUUUCAGGCAGGAGUCAUGUUCAGGUCUUGAAAGGUGGUAGAUAUUUGGAUAGAUAAAGAUGGUGGGAAAGAUAUUUCAAACACUGAGAAGAACAUAAGGGAAAUCACGGAGGUGGGACCUCAUGCACCACCCUGGGGAAUGGAGAGCAUCUCCUUUGAUGGGAAAAGUUCCAGCACCGGCCACGUCACCAACUCUCAGAGUCAGGCUGCUGUGGGGUGCAGAGCUCACUCCUCAUGUUCUCCAUUUAUGCCAGUGCUUUCCCUCCUUCCUGACUUUCUGAGUCCUGUCCUGGUUCCACCAUAAUCCCAGAGUCCCCAGGCUCAGUCUCAGAGCUGUGCUUGACCUGCCCUCUCCCUUGACCCACACAACUCUCCAUCAAUACAGAUGCUGCCUCAGUGGGGACCUCUCAUCACCGGCCCCCGUUCUCCCUUCCCAUAGCGCUGUAGGUCCUCUACAUGAUUCCUGUUUCGGCUGUUGUAAGACACUCUCACAUUUUUUCCAACCCAGGAAGAAUUUCCUUAACUCCCAGCUGUGGCAUCACCUCCUUGUAGUUGGCACAGACUCUGGUUCUGGCAGAAAGGUUCACGGUCAGAGAACUGGGUUUGAAGCUGGGGGGUAGGGGUGAACUCAGACGACUCAGCUCCACAGGCCACAGACAAAUCAAGUCCACCCUGCUUGGUCAACAGGCAUGGUCCUCUGGUCAGGACAGCCCCCCCCCCCCCCCCCCCACCCCCGCCCCUUGAUGCGGGAGCUGAAAUGAGUUCGCUCACUGUUGCACAGCAAGCAAAUCUCUCACACUGGGUGUGGCGGGAGAAAGCAGGACUUUAUUAUUGCACAGCACUGAGCAAGGAGAAGAGGCAGCUAACGCUGAAACCCCAAACUCCCCGAAAAGCUAAAAGGGAGGGUUUUUAUUUGGGGUUUAGGUAGCGGAGGGGGAGCACAUGGCGUCCUCGCCAGAGCCUUCCCACCAGCCUGUGUUUGGCCUUGAUACUCUUGGAGAGACGAGGAGCCCAUGACCCUGCCGGCCAGCAGCUUCCCACCAGCCCAGAGCUCCUUGGGGGAGGUGAUGAUACAGAACCCAGGUGGUGACCUUGGCCGCUGGUCUCCACAUCUCCACGCGACAGUGGGUGCUGGGGCCAGGGAGCAGGGAACCACUGCUCUGUUUUAAGCCCACGUGCCGGGUUCAGUGCAGGGAACCGGCAUCAGGGCGGCAUCACCCUUGCAGGAUCGCGAAGUCCACGGGGCAGCUCCGGCGGGGGAGCCCGGCGGCCUUCCCUCCGCGCCUUCCCGGCGCUCCCGGCCCGCACUUCAAGCGCGAAGGAGGAAACGUAGAUGGAGAACAGGGGGCCUAGGGCGCCAACGCUCCAAGCGCAGGAGCCCCUAGCGGCUGGGCUGUGGCUUCUGUCGUGAGUCAGCUGUGGGAGGAGCGACCACGUGCCCGGCAGCACCCCGGAGCUUCGGCCGUCGGCUCCUCAAGGCCGAGCCCAGGCCCUGGAGACGCACCAGCAGCCGGCCCGGGGGCGCCAGGACCACCGAGAGGCGGGCUGGGGUCCGGCCUGGGACUCGCCCACCACCCAGCUUACGCCCACCGGUGGCCUCCGACCCCAAACACGCCCACGACGAGGCCGUGCCUCGCACCGGAAGAGGAGCCACAGUCUCCUCACCGCAUUCCGGAAGCCCAGGCCUGUGCUGGUCACCGCAGCGGCAGAGGAAGUCCCGCCCCGGAAGUCACGUGGGCCCCAGGGCGGGCUCCAUUAGCCCGGACUGCCCAGUCUUGGGGCAGGAAGUCCUGCCCCCUGGAAGUCACGUGGACUGGGACCGGAAGUCCCGGGAAGCGUGUAGGCCUUGGAGCCUGGGAUUCCAGCUGGUGGGGACGCUGCGGCGGGUGCGAGGGCCCUGCCCGCCCUGCCUGGGUGCGUGUCGGGGAGGCGUCCGGACUCCCUGCUCCGCUUCCCUCCCAGCGUUGGCGGGGGCGGUGAGGCUGAUUUCUCGUCGCUCUGAAGGACGGCGUCGCCGCAGCGCGCUCCCAGCAGCCCAGGCGAGGACGCGCGGCGGCCCGCGGGCGGACGAGGAAGCGUGGUGUGUCCGAGCGGCGGUGUCAUUCAGGCGCGGAAAGGAGGGACGUCCUGGUGCUGCUGCACCGGCAGAGACGCUUCAGACUACGCUCGGUGAGCGUCCAGACGCAGAAAGUCACGGCGUGUGGGGUUCCGUUUACAGGAACUGCCCGGCGUCGGCCCGUCCGUAGAGAUGGAAAGCGGAUCGGUGAUCGCCGGCGGCUGGGCAGGGAGUAUGGCAAAGGGAGCUGCUGCUCACGGGCGCGCGCUUUCCCCUGGGGGGACGAGAAUGUUCUGGAACAAGAUCGAGGUGACAGCUGCGCAACAUUCUGAUUGUACGAGAUGCCAAUGAAUUGGACGCUAACAUGGUUACAAUGAUGAAUUUUAUCUGAAGGAAGGAAGGAGAGAAGGAAGGGGGUGGCCUAGGCUGACUGCCUCCACGGUAAGGGCCUCGAGGCCAGGCCUGCGCCCGCUCUCUGAGGAGCGCUCCCCUGGAAGGCAUCGCGAUGGUCCUGAUAGCUGUGCAGGAGCGAUGGAGAUGUACCUGCUGAGGCCCAGAGCGGGCGACAAGCCACUUCAGGGACAAGCAAGAGGCCAGUGGCUGCCCAGAGUGACCGGCUAGCAGCAGGGCUAAGAUCCGCCCACUGGCAUGCUCUCCGGGCACCCUGCGUGUGCACUGUCCUUUCCUCCCGGGCCUGGUUCGAAGGAGACUGGUCCCAUCCCAUUCAUGCCGUGAAGAGGGAUUGGCAGUGCCUGGCACCUCGUCUACUCUGGAAAGACCUGAAGUUGCACAAGGGCUGAUGUCAGGUCCUGUGGGAUGAGUUACAGCCCCACCGCCCUGUCACAUUUGGCUCUCUGCCUUUGCUUGAAGUUCACAGCCUCCUCCUUUCCGGUCCCCUGAUUCUUGAUGUUUAAUUGCUAAUAGCAAUCCCUCCCCUUCUAUUUAUAACCACUUCAUAAUGCAGACCAGUGUCUCCCUGUGGUCGGGUGGUUUUAGUAAAUCCGCUCAGUAAUCUGAUGCUAACAGUCAGAGCAGUGUGUUUCUCUUGACCCUGGCUGAGAGUCACUUUGUGUGGUGGCACCACUCCCAGCCCUGAGAUGGGGGCAGCCCGUUCCCGCGUGGAAAAACCAACUUGCUCUUCCACUUCUUGUGGAUGAGUGUACACGCACUUGGGUGUGGGUGGGGUGGGGGCUGCCGAGGCAGGACAGAGGGCACCGUUAUUGGAGCCCAGGCUGAGUGUUUCUCCUUGCUCCAUGCACACAGACGUUUUUGAAGUCAGUUUGGAUUUUUGUGGAAACUUCAUUUUUUUAUUUUUCCCUCUUGUUUCUCUGGUAACAUCGAAAACAAACACACACAGAUGUGUCACCUGGCUCCCAGCUACGUUUUUCCAGCAGACACCUACAACUGGAAACUCAGCAGGACUUGGACUCCAGAAUCCAAAUGAACUCUUACUUAACUCCUCCUCCACCAAUUCUCUCUGUGCCUCACCCACCACAGAGCUGGCUGGGCAGACGCCCUCUUCCAGGCACCAAGGAGAAAGGGCUGUGGCUACUCUGUCCACCACCCAGGAACAGGCUUCUCCCCAGACAUUUGCAGGGGAAGAAAUCUCUGCUCCCAUAUCUUCCUGCCCUGCUCGUGAUUUAAAUAUAAGAACGAAGGUGUUUGCAACACUCACUUGCCUUCUCCGAACAACCAGAGCUUCUGACCGUGGAACAGGCUAUUUAUUCCCCAAAGCUGAGGAUUCCUUGUCUCUAGAAACCACAGAAUUUGCUUACUAGGAAAAUAUUGUUCCUUUAUUCCAGUUGUUUCAUUGUAAAAUGAAGCAGCUAAGGAACAAAGAGGAGGCCACACAGAGAAUUAGUGGUAAAGCUAGAGAGAGGAAGCCCGUUCCUGGCUCCAGUCUGCCCUCCACACCAUUCGGCUGGUCCCCACUGAGAGAAGCUGCCGAGUAUCUCGUCUGGAAGGCCUCCCAGGCUCCAGGAACUAGCUUUUUCACCAGUUCUGUUUUUGCUGACUUGUUCCAUUUUUGUUCUAAAUAAGGAAUUUCACAUUUCUACCCAGUUUUGAAUCUCAAAUAUGUACUCUGACAAUAUAGAAACUUUUCUAACACAUAGUAGCAUAUCAGCCAAAUUUCCCCUUUUACUCAUUAAUUCACCAAAUGGUUAUUCAACACCUACUGUGAGCUGGGCCAUGUGUGGUGGGAAUGCAAGGGUAGAUACAACCAAGUCUGUGUCCGCAAGAGCUCCUGGUGUCCCGUAGUGCAGCAGACAGAGGCACGGACAGGUGAUGCCUGCCUUGCAGGCCACAGUGCCAACACGGGUUGGCUUGGAGAUGUCCUUCCCUCUGCAGUGUUUACAGGGUAAGAAUAUCUGCUACUUUGUCUUCUUGGCAAAACAAUUUAAUACUUACUUUAUUGUAUUCCUACCCCAAGGAAACAAAAUAUUAAGCUGAUUAUAAAAACUCCAUGUGUUAAAGUCUUUUGUGCAAUCCUUGCUCCUAGCCGCCCCUUUCGAUGUGUCACGUUUGGCAAUUGUUCACCCUUCUGAGCCUCUGCUGGAUGGGAUAAUUAGCAGAACACUAGCAAAUUAUCUUAUUAUUGUUGGCUAAACAUGCUCUUAUUGGGCACCUGCCGUACAUUCAAUGAGAACAUAUACAAAGAUGAGUACAAUACAAUUUUACAGUACUUUACAGCUUACAGUAAAGUUGGUGAGAGAAUUUUAAGCAAAGUAGAAUUUUGAAAAGCAAUGUCUAACUCUCCCAACCAGGAGCCCUACGAAAAUAUCUGGGCUAGCAAUUCCCCACCCCCUUAAAAAUUUGUCCAGGCCAGAAGCCAAGGGAGAGGCUGGGCUGCCUCCCAGCCUUUGUGUAAAUGAUAAACCAGAAAGGACCAGCUGAGGCUGUCUGAGGCAAUCCUCCUGCGAGUGACCCAGGCCCAGGGCACAGGCCAGAGGGAGGGCGUACCUGGGGCAGUUUGGGAACACAGGCGCUGCCCAGACUCUCUCGUCUCUGCUGAGGAGUGGUGGCAUUUGGUCAUGUCAGCAGCUUAGGAGACCUCACAACUGCUCCUGGACUAGCAGAGUUUCCAUUCCCUUCCAGAACUGUCUGCAGGUCCUGCUGCCAUGGCCCUCUUCACUGGAUGCUGGCUCUUCAACCACAUAUGUAAACUCAGGGUAAAUCUUUCUCCCUUCAUCUGGCUGUGAAGGAAUUCUGACAGAAGCGUACCUCUCGGACAGGGUCCAUCUCAGCUCUAACAUGCCUGAAAGCAGUGAACCGCUUAAACAGAGACUUCCUUCAAAAACACUGAAUAAAGAAAAUCCCUGGACUUAAUAAAAAUUGCUG
ensembl:lncRNA